rnacentral:rRNA from 1 species
GACGGAGGGGGCUAGCGUUGUUCGGAAUUACUGGGCGUAAAGGGCGUGUAGGCGGCCUGCCAAGUCAGAUGUGAAAGCCCCUGGCAGAACCUGGGAACUGCAUUUGAGACUGGCCGGCUCGAGGUUGGAAGAGGAGAGUGGAAUUCCCAGUGUAGAGGUGAAAUUCGUAGAUAUUGGGAAGAACACCGGUGGCGCAGGCGGCUCUCUGGUCCACUCCUGACGCUGAGGCUCGAAAGCGUGGGGAGCAAACAGG